AUGAACAACUUCACGAUGCCAGAUCCGCAGUAUUUUUUAUUUGCUGCUCGAAGAGACCAGGGUCAGCUUAUUCUAGUCAAUCCAAAGUCUGGACAGCGUUUUUUGAUGAAUGAGGAAUUACUUCGUAGAGACUAUAGAGUUCAGCUUGGAGAUUUUCUCAAAUGCAGAACCAACAGAGCGAGAGAAUUGUACGAAAUUUCACAAACCAAACAUACUGCAGACAUUUCAACAGUUAUCAACGGGGAUGAAGCUAUUGUGGUAAAUCUCAAAGUCAACCUAAUUUCUCAAAAUGGACUUUUGCUAUUUCAAUGCCCACUUUUUGAUGAUAUCCGAUGCUGGCCUGUAAUACAAACAGGAAGAUACGUCAUCACAAUGAGACUAUUAAAUACAUCUCGCGAAAUGAUACCUGGAAAAAUUGUUCAUUUUGAAGCUGUUGACAUUGCAGCUCAAGCACCAAACGAAAGGUUUGUAAACUCCGGACAAAAAGUAGGCUCCGGAUUUUCAACUACUGCUAAGAAACCAGAACCUAUUGUUGGAACUGGAUUCUCGUCGGCUUCAAGAACGGAAUCGCCAAAACCAAAUUCGACGGUCGUAGGAAAGGGAUUCCAACGGCCUCAAACUCCAAAACAAAAUACAAAAGUGGUGGGAAGCGGAUUCCCAUCUCCACAAAAACAGGUAACCCCGGCAAACAACAAUAAAGUUGCUGGCUCGGGAUUUCCUAAACCUCCCAAAAAGGAGGAAAAAAUCGUUGGUACUGGAUUUCAACCAUCGAAAAAAGAUAAAAACUCUGAAAAGCCAGGACAAAUUGUUGGCGAAGGAUUUACGACUUCGCAAACAAAAGAGGAAAAGCAGCGGGCCGUUGUCACAAGUAUUGACGAAAAACGACCUGGUUUAUAUUACUUGUGGAAUCUCGAUUCAAAAACGUUAGUUUGUUUGAAUUUACUUCACAAGCAAUGUUUGAUAUGUCCAUCGGGAAUCUCGUAUACUUGGCAUUGGACACACGAUGGAAACAUCGGAAAUAAUUUUUGUUAAUUGAAACUUCUAUUUUUCAGUGAAGGAUUGUUCAAAACUACAAAGUAUGUUUUGGCACUGGGUCAUCAUUUUGAAGGAACUUUCCAGAAACAGGAAGAUGGAAGAUGUGUUUGUAAAGAGUACAAAGGGCCAAUAACUGAGCUUUUGCACGGCGGCAUCAAUGAUAAAGAGAAACUAUUUUUGACGGUUAAAAUAACCAAAUUUACACCGGCAGGAGUCAAUCAAAAAUUCUCAACUGGAACAGCAAAGUACAUCGGAGAAUUGCUGGAAGGAAGCACUGAUGAAACUAAAUUAACUGCUGGAUGCAUAGGAAAAACCGUCAAGAUUGAACGCCGUGGAGUUGGAGAGAAGGACUAUGUUUGGAUGGUUACUAAGAUUUUGUAA
rnacentral:misc_RNA from 1 species